UACGUAGGGUGCGAGCGUUUAAUCGGAAUUACUGGGCGUAAAGCGUGCGCAGGCGGUUUUGUAAGCCAGGUGUGAAAUCCCCGGGCUCAACCUGGGAAUGGCAUUUGGGACUGCAAGGCUGGAGUGCGGCAGAGGAGACUGGAAUUCCUGGUGUAGCAGUGAAAUGCGUAGAUAUCAGGAGGAACACCGAUGGCGAAGGCAGGAUCUCUGGGCUGACACUGACGCUCAUGCACGAAAGCGUGGGGAGCGAAACAAGGAUUGA
rnacentral:rRNA from 1 species